rnacentral:rRNA from 1 species
GGGUUGUGAGGUUAAGCGACUAAGCGUACACGGUGGAUGCCCUGGCAGUCAGAGGCGAUGAAGGACGUGCUAAUCUGCGAUAAGCGUCGGUAAGGUGAUAUGAACCGUUAUAACCGGCGAUUUCCGAAUGGGGAAACCCAGUGUGUUUCGACACACUAUCAUUAACUGAAUCCAUAGGUUAAUGAGGCGAACCGGGGGAACUGAAACAUCUAAGUACCCCGAGGAAAAGAAAUCAACCGAGAUUCCCCCAGUAGCGGCGAGCGAACGGGGAGCAGCCCAGAGCCUGAAUCAGUGUGUGUGUUAGUGGAAGCGUCUGGAAAGGCGCGCGAUACAGGGUGACAGCCCCGUACACAAAAAUGCACAUGCUGUGAGCUCGAUGAGUAGGGCGGGACACGUGGUAUCCUGUCUGAAUAUGGGGGGACCAUCCUCCAAGGCUAAAUACUCCUGACUGACCGAUAGUGAACCAGUACCGUGAGGGAAAGGCGAAAAGAACCCCGGCGAGGGGAGUGAAAAAGAACCUGAAACCGUGUACGUACAAGCAGUGGGAGCACGCUUAGGCGUGUGACUGCGUACCUUUUGUAUAAUGGGUCAGCGACUUAUAUUCUGUAGCAAGGUUAACCGAAUAGGGGAGCCGAAGGGAAACCGAGUCUUAACUGGGCGUUAAGUUGCAGGGUAUAGACCCGAAACCCGGUGAUCUAGCCAUGGGCAGGUUGAAGGUUGGGUAACACUAACUGGAGGACCGAACCGACUAAUGUUGAAAAAUUAGCGGAUGACUUGUGGCUGGGGGUGAAAGGCCAAUCAAACCGGGAGAUAGCUGGUUCUCCCCGAAAGCUAUUUAGGUAGCGCCUCGUGAAUUCAUCUCCGGGGGUAGAGCACUGUUUCGGCAAGGGGGUCAUCCCGACUUACCAACCCGAUGCAAACUGCGAAUACCGGAGAAUGUUAUCACGGGAGACACACGGCGGGUGCUAACGUCCGUCGUGAAGAGGGAAACAACCCAGACCGCCAGCUAAGGUCCCAAAGUCAUGGUUAAGUGGGAAACGAUGUGGGAAGGCCCAGACAGCCAGGAUGUUGGCUUAGAAGCAGCCAUCAUUUAAAGAAAGCGUAAUAGCUCACUGGUCGAGUCGGCCUGCGCGGAAGAUGUAACGGGGCUAAACCAUGCACCGAAGCUGCGGCAGCGACACUGUGUGUUGUUGGGUAGGGGAGCGUUCUGUAAGCCUGUGAAGGUGUACUGUGAGGUAUGCUGGAGGUAUCAGAAGUGCGAAUGCUGACAUAAGUAACGAUAAAGCGGGUGAAAAGCCCGCUCGCCGGAAGACCAAGGGUUCCUGUCCAACGUUAAUCGGGGCAGGGUGAGUCGACCCCUAAGGCGAGGCCGAAAGGCGUAGUCGAUGGGAAACAGGUUAAUAUUCCUGUACUUGGUGUUACUGCGAAGGGGGGACGGAGAAGGCUAUGUUGGCCGGGCGACGGUUGUCCCGGUUUAAGCGUGUAGGCUGGUUUUCCAGGCAAAUCCGGAAAAUCAAGGCUGAGGCGUGAUGACGAGGCACUACGGUGCUGAAGCAACAAAUGCCCUGCUUCCAGGAAAAGCCUCUAAGCAUCAGGUAACAUCAAAUCGUACCCCAAACCGACACAGGUGGUCAGGUAGAGAAUACCAAGGCGCUUGAGAGAACUCGGGUGAAGGAACUAGGCAAAAUGGUGCCGUAACUUCGGGAGAAGGCACGCUGAUAUGUAGGUGAAGUCCCUCGCGGAUGGAGCUGAAAUCAGUCGAAGAUACCAGCUGGCUGCAACUGUUUAUUAAAAACACAGCACUGUGCAAACACGAAAGUGGACGUAUACGGUGUGACGCCUGCCCGGUGCCGGAAGGUUAAUUGAUGGGGUCAGCGCAAGCGAAGCUCUUGAUCGAAGCCCCGGUAAACGGCGGCCGUAACUAUAACGGUCCUAAGGUAGCGAAAUUCCUUGUCGGGUAAGUUCCGACCUGCACGAAUGGCGUAAUGAUGGCCAGGCUGUCUCCACCCGAGACUCAGUGAAAUUGAACUCGCUGUGAAGAUGCAGUGUACCCGCGGCAAGACGGAAAGACCCCGUGAACCUUUACUAUAGCUUGACACUGAACAUUGAGCCUUGAUGUGUAGGAUAGGUGGGAGGCUUAGAAGUGUGGACGCCAGUCUGCAUGGAGCCGACCUUGAAAUACCACCCUUUAAUGUUUGAUGUUCUAACGUUGACCCGUAAUCCGGGUUGCGGACAGUGUCUGGUGGGUAGUUUGACUGGGGCGGUCUCCUCCUAAAGAGUAACGGAGGAGCACGAAGGUUGGCUAAUCCUGGUCGGACAUCAGGAGGUUAGUGCAAUGGCAUAAGCCAGCUUGACUGCGAGCGUGACGGCGCGAGCAGGUGCGAAAGCAGGUCAUAGUGAUCCGGUGGUUCUGAAUGGAAGGGCCAUCGCUCAACGGAUAAAAGGUACUCCGGGGAUAACAGGCUGAUACCGCCCAAGAGUUCAUAUCGACGGCGGUGUUUGGCACCUCGAUGUCGGCUCAUCACAUCCUGGGGCUGAAGUAGGUCCCAAGGGUAUGGCUGUUCGCCAUUUAAAGUGGUACGCGAGCUGGGUUUAGAACGUCGUGAGACAGUUCGGUCCCUAUCUGCCGUGGGCGCUGGAGAACUGAGGGGGGCUGCUCCUAGUACGAGAGGACCGGAGUGGACGCAUCACUGGUGUUCGGGUUGUCAUGCCAAUGGCACUGCCCGGUAGCUAAAUGCGGAAGAGAUAAGUGCUGAAAGCAUCUAAGCACGAAACUUGCCCCGAGAUGAGUUCUCCCUGACUCCUUGAGAGUCCUGAAGGAACGUUGAAGACGACGACGUUGAUAGGCCGGGUGUGUAAGCGCAGCGAUGCGUUGAGCUAACCGGUACUAAUGAACCGUGAGGCUUAACCUUACAACGCCGAAG